AUUGAACGCUGGCGGCGUGCCUAACACAUGCAAGUCGAGCGGUAACACUUCGGGUGACGAGCGGCGGACGGCAGAGUAACGCGUAGGAACGUACCCCAAACUGAGGAAUAAGCACCGGAAACGGUGUCUAAUACCGCAUAUUAUCUUCGGAUCAAAGCUUCGGCGGUUUGGGAGCGGCCUGCGUCUGAUUAGCUAGUUGGUGAGGUAAAAGCUCACCAAGGCGACGAUCAGUAGCUGGUUUGAGAGGAUGACCAGCCUGACUGGAACUGAGAACGGUCCAGACUCCUACGGGAGGCAGCAGUGGGGAAUUUUUCGCAAUGGGGGAAGCCCUGACGGAGCAACGCCGCGUGCAGGAGGAAGGCCUUCGGGUUGUAAACUGCUUUUAUUGGUGACGAUUAUGACAGUAGCCAAUGAAUAAGGACCUGCUAACUACGUGCCAGCCGCCGCCGUAA
rnacentral:rRNA from 1 species